rnacentral:rRNA from 1 species
UAGGGAAUCUUCGGCAAUGGACGAAAGUCUGACCGAGCAACGCCGCGUGAGUGAAGAAGGUUUUCGGAUCGUAAAACUCUGUUGUUAGAGAAGAACAAGGACGUUAGUAACUGAACGUCCCCUGACGGUAUCUAACCAGAAAGCCACGGCUAACUACGUGCCAGCAGCCGCGGUAAUACGUAGGUGGCAAGCGUUGUCCGGAUUUAUUGGGCGUAAAGCGAGCGCAGGCGGUUUCUUAAGUCUGAUGUGAAGGCCCCCGGCUCAACCGGGGAGGGUCAUUGGAAACUGGGAGACUUGAGUGCAGAAGAGGAGAGUGGAAUUCCAUGUGUAGCGGUGAAAUGCGUAGAUAUAUGGAGGAACACCAGUGGCGAAGGCGGCUCUCUGGUCUGUAACUGACGCUGAGGCUCGAAAGCGUGGGGAGCAAACA